UGAACGCUAGUGGUAUGCUUAACACAUGCGAGUCGGACGAAGAAUUUUCUUAGUGGCGAACGGGUGAGUAAUGCGUAGGUAUCUACCUCCUGGCAUAGUAUAAAAUACUAAGUCAUAGGACAUUAUUGUCUGCUAGGAUAUGAGCCUAUGUAGGAUUAGGUAGUUGGUGAGGAAAAAGCUUACCAAGCCUGUGAUCCUUAGUUGUUCUGAGAGGUUGAACAACCACACUGGGACUGAGACAAGGCCCAGGCUUUAUUUGAGGCCAGCAGUGAGGAAUCUUGGGCAAUGAGCGAAAGCUUGACCCAGCAAUAUCACAUGGGAGAAGAGGGCUUUUUGGCUGUAACUCUCUUUGUUUAAGGAAGAUAAUGACGUUACUUAAAUGAAUAGCCCCGGCUAACUUCGUGCCAGCAG
rnacentral:rRNA from 1 species